CGGGGGAUAGCGCAGUUUGGUUUAGCGCGCUUGAAUGGGGUUCAAGAGGUCGAGAGUUCAAAUCUCUCUCCCCCGA
rnacentral:tRNA from 1 species